rnacentral:lncRNA from 1 species
CAACUGUAAAUAACGGUGACCUGCACAAGUUUUUUGUUGAUGUAGCUGGGAAUUUGCUUGGUAUCAAUAAAGUUGACACUAACAUGGAACAAGACAUGGCCGCUGAAGACUUCGCAUUCUAUCAAGAGUUCAUACCUGGCUACUACUUCACUCUUGGAAUGGAGAUUGCUUCAUCUGAACCGGUUGCGCCAUUACACUCGCCCUAUCUUGUAAUCAAUGAAGAUGGACUUCCCUAUGGGGCUGCACUUCAUGCAUCACUGGCCACUGGCUAUCUAUAUCAGCAGGACGUAGCCAAGGUAGUCGGGAAAUAUCAUGAUCAAUUAUAAGUGUUAACAAUUGUUAAAAGCUAAUGCAGUCUUAUUUCUUGCAACAAUGACCUGAUAUGUGUCAUUGUUUUACAGUUUUAACAGUCACAUGGUUUAGAUUCCUAAGUGCUUUCCCUUUAAAGUCACUGGUUGUGCAUUUAGCUAAUGGGAAAAUGGGAGUAAUAAAGAUAAAAGGAGUGCUAGAAAUACCUGGAGACACAUAUUUUAGAGUUUAAUGAUGAUACACUAAUCAUGUAAAAUAAUUUUUCACUUUAAUUCAAUUACUCAUAAAUUAUUAUUAAUAUGACUUUUAAGAUAAUUUUGUAGAAAUCAACUAAGUUAUCAUUAUUGAUGGUUCGUGAUUGAAUAAUAAUGUAAAAUUAUUUUGUAUGAUUGUUUUUUUUUUCUUUUCUGUUUUAACACACUUUUUUUUUAAACUACAAAACUAAAGGUGAUAUUCAUUAAAUAAGACUUGAGACUCACCAAAUUUUGUAAUUUUUUUCUAUCUUAAAUCUCUAAAAUCCCUACUAUCUAGAGAAUUUUAUAUUGUUUUAAUCAAAUAUAUUAAUUGUAUAAUGGAAAUAAUAAUGACACCUAUAUAGAGUGCAAAUAAAUCUCUAUUAUAAAAAAUACACAUAAAAAAGAGAGGGUGUUACUCAUACUUUAUUUAUAAUGGUAGUAGCAUUAUUUGAUUUCAUGAAACUUUUCAAUAAUGAAAAGAUGGUGUUAAAAAAAAUGUGUUUCAUCCAAUAAUGCUUUAGCAAAGUGUGACAAUAAAGAGAUCAAAUCUGUACCAGGUUGGAGUGGAUGUGGACCCUCACAAUCUUACUAAGCAAAAGAAACAACGUCGAUUGCUGUUUUACUAUCCUCGUUCCUUCCUUCC